rnacentral:rRNA from 1 species
GAUGAACGCUAGCUACAGGCUUAACACAUGCAAGUCGAGGGGUAACGAGAGGGAAGCUUGCUUUCCUUGUCGACGACCGGCGCACGGGUGAGUAACGCGUAUCCAACCUGCCCCCAACUAGGGAAUAACCUUGCGAAAGUAAGACUAAUACCCUAUAAUUUCCUCAGAUGUCAUCUGACGAGGAAUAAAGAUUUAUCGGUUGUGGAUGGGGAUGCGUCUGAUUAGCUUGUUGGCGGGGUAACGGCCCACCAAGGCAACGAUCAGUAGGGGUUCUGGAAGGAAGGUCGCCCACAUUGGAACUGAGACACGGUCCAAACUCCUACGGGAGGCAGCAGUGAGGAAUAUUGGUCAAUGGGCGGAAGCCUGAACCAGCCAAGUAGCGUGCAGGAUGACGGCCCUAUGGGUUGUAAACUGCUUUUAUACAGGAAUAAAGUUAGCCACGUGUGGUUAUUUGUAGGUACUGUAUGAAUAAGGACCGGCUAAUUCCGUGCCAGCCGCCGCCGUAA